AACGAACGCUGGCGGCAUGCCUAACACAUGCAAGUCGAACGAGACCUUCGGGUCUAGUGGCGCACGGGUGCGUAACGCGUGGGAACCUGCCCUUAGGUUCGGAAUAACUCCCCGAAAGGGGUGCUAAUACCGGAUAAUGUCUUCGGACCAAAGAUUUAUCGCCUUUGGAUGGGCCCGCGUUGGAUUAGCUAGUUGGUAGGGUAAAAGCCUACCAAGGCGACGAUCCAUAGCUGGUCUGAGAGGAUGAUCAGCCACACUGGGACUGAGACACGACCCAGACUCCUACGGGAGGCAGCAGUAGGGAAUAUUGGACAAUGGGCGAAAGCCUGAUCCAGCAAUGCCGCGUGAGUGAUGAAGGCCUUAGGGUUGUAAAGCUCUUUUACCCGGGAUGAUAAUGACAGUACCGGGAGAAUAAGCUCCGGCUAACUCCGUG
rnacentral:rRNA from 1 species